GCCCUUAGAGUUUGAUCCUGGCUCAGAUUGAACGCUGGCGGCAUGCUUUACACAUGCAAGUCGAACGGCAGCGCGGGGAGCUUGCUCCCUGGCGGCGAGUGGCGCACGGGUGAGUAAUACAUCGGAACGUGUCUUCUAGUGGGGGAUAACUGCCCGAAAGGGCAGCUAAUACCGCAUGAGACCUGAGGGUGAAAGCGGGGGAUCGCAAGACCUCGCGCUGGAAGAGCGGCCGAUGUCCGAUUAGCUAGUUGGUGAGGUAAAGGCUCACCAAGGCGACGAUCGGUAGCUGGUCUGAGAGGACGACCAGCCACACUGGGACUGAGACACGGCCCAGACUCCUACGGGAGGCAGCAGUGGGGAAUUUUGGACAAUGGGGGCAACCCUGAUCCAGCCAUGCCGCGUGCAGGAUGAAGGUCUUCGGAUUGUAAACUGCUUUUGUCAGGGACGAAAAGGGAUGCGAUAACACCGCAUUCCGCUAGACGGUACCGAAGAAUAGCACCGGCU
rnacentral:rRNA from 1 species